GACGAACGCUGGCGGCGUGCUUAACACAUGCGAGUCGAACGGAAAGGCCCGGCUUUUGUGGGGUGCUCGAGUGGCGAACGGGGGAGUAACACGUGAGUAACCUGCCCUUGACUGUGGGAUAACUUCAGGAAACUGGGGCUAAUACCGGAUAGGAGCUCCUGCUGCAUGGGGGGGGAUGGAAAGUUUCGGCGGUUGGGGAUUGACUCGCGGGUUAUCAGCUUGUUAGUGAGGUAGGGGCGUACCAAGGCUUUGACGGGUAGCCCGCCUGAGAGGGUGACCGGCCACCUUAGGCCUGCGAGACGGCCCAGUCGCCUACGGGAGGCAGCAGUGGGGAGUAUUGCACAAUGGGGCGGAGCCUGAUGCAGCAACCCCGCGUUCGGGAUGACGGCCUUCGGGUUGUAAACCGCUUUCGCCUGUGCCGAAGCGUGAGUGACGGUAAUGGGUAAAGAAGCCCCGGCUAACUACGUG
rnacentral:rRNA from 1 species